CCACAUCAUGUUGAAACACCGAUUUCUGUAUGAUCACCAAAGUUAAGCAACAUCAAGCCUAGUCAGUACCUAGAUGGGUGACCACUUGGGAAUAUCAAGUGCUGUAA